GAACGCUGGCGGCAUGCCUAACACAUGCAAGUCGAACGAGACCUUCGGGUCUAGUGGCGCACGGGUGCGUAACGCGUGGGAAUCUACCCUCAGGUUCGGAAUAACUCAGAGAAAUUUGAGCUAAUACCGGAUGAUGACGUAAGUCCAAAGAUUUAUCGCCUGAGGAUGAGCCCGCUUAGGAUUAGGUAGUUGGUGAGGUAAAGGCUCACCAAGCCGACGAUCCUUAGCUGGUCUGAGAGGAUGAUCAGCCACACUGGGACUGAGACACGGCCCAGACUCCUACGGGAGGCAGCAGUGGGGAAUAUUGGACAAUGGGCGAAAGCCUGAUCCAGCAAUGCCGCGUGAGUGAUGAAGGCCUUAGGGUUGUAAAGCUCUUUUACCCGGGAUGAUAAUGACAGUACCGGGAGAAUAAGCUCCGGCUAACUCCGUG
rnacentral:rRNA from 1 species